GCGCGGUGGCAUCAACGCGAGACGCUCGCGAGCGUCCCGAGAGCCUCACCUGUAAGACGGGCUCCUGCCCAGGGGGCGCGGGAGGCCUGAAUGAGGUGUCCGUGUGCAGUGAUAGAGUGCUUAUCACGGUGCGCAGUCCCGGCGUGGGCAGCCAGCCCGAGGAGGCCUUCUUAGCUGUAUGGUGGGAAUUAAGUGAGAAAGUAACCCCAAAGAACCUGCCCUUAACUAGGACUUGGGAAGCGGUAGCCAUGCCUUCUCAACUACGACGCUCGAGCAGCUGCGCCGUCGGAAACACACCCCCUUAGCGCCUGCUGCUUCCGAGGGCAGGUGGGCAGGGAGAAGGCAUUUGCAUGAUCCCACACCCGGGCUCUGAGGCCACGAGCACAAGUACGGCUCGUCCCGACCGAGCAAAGCGAGUGCAGCACACACUCCUAGCAGUAACCCUAACAGCCAGCAGGUGAAGGCCCUGCAACCUCCAGGAGCCUCCUCCUAACCCCCAAAGCUUGGUUAGGCUCCUCCUGUGGGUGUCUGCCGCACUGGGACUCUCCUAUUCUGGCAUCGACUCUGCAGCAGAACUACGCCAUCUUCCCCAGCAGAUUACAUCAAGGCAGUGCUGCCUGCGGGAAGGGAGGGCAUCCUUGCUCCCUAUAGAAGGCAGGGCCAGGAAGGACAGCUUUGGAACCACUGGCCACUGAAGAGCCAGCAUUAACGCCGAGGCUGCAGGAGGCACACAGGGUGAGGGGCACGGGGAGUGGAAAUGGAACCCCGUGCAUGAAACAAGCAAGCCUGAGCCCAGCCAGGAGGCUCUCCACCCUACAAGCCUCUGAAGCUCUGCACACAGCGGGUCGGCCUCCAGGAGGGCAGGAAACCAGAGCCCACCAGCAGAGCCUUGCCUUCGGAAGCCACGUGAGGCGCUGAGCAUGAGGUUAUGAUAAAACAGAAAAGACAGGCUCCUGGACCUGACAGAACUUACAGACCACGCUCUCUGGUGCCAGCAGUAAGGACCCUGGAUCGUUAGCUGCUGGAAGCAAGGACAGCCUCGGUGCGUGCUUGUUCACAGCCCUCAGGCUGCAGUCCGGAGCCAGGACGCGAGGAGGGCAUUUCACGCUCACUCUGAAAGCAGGCCUUCUCAGACUUGACCCUGAAGACGUGUCUUUCCGCCAAGCAGCAGAGGAUCGGUGGCAGGUGGAGUUAACAGCUCCCCCCCGAGGUGGCCCACGGGAGAAUGCGUCAGGUAAGUCCAUCUCCGAAUCAGAGGGCCUGGGCACACAGUUUCCUCUGAACACUGGGACUCCCAGUCGCCUAGCGAGCCGAUGAAGCCAGACGGCCGGUUAGCUCUGGUUCCGGGGGUCUGGGGGUCGCCCUGCUCGCCAGUCCCCGGUCGGCGCCUGUGCAGCUGCCGGUACCUGGCUGCGCGCUGGGACCCGCACUCACACAUCCGGGUCUCAAAAGGGAUGAGGGCACGAGACCGAUUCCAUUAUAAUAGCCAUCUUUAUUUGUAAAAAUCCAGAUAUAAAAUGUAUUCUUUCAGUCUUUCCAAGUUUUCCUUUUUACAAAAACAAAAAGGCACAUAAAAACCAUCCCCGCGGUCAUUCCCAUAGACGAUGUUUGUCAGGCAGCCCUCCCCCCUCCCCCCCAUAGAGCUACAUGCUUCAUUCCGGGACGUCUUGCUUCCCCCACAUGCUUCGGUGCUUUCCUACCAGGGUAGAGUUCCGAAUUCCAAGACUGAAGUACACAAAGAGGGGGUGGGGGGUGGGUGCGAAGUGUGUGGCGUGAUGCUCCACGGCGUGCAGGACACGGGGUCUAGUAGUAGGUUUCUUUCUCUACCCAGCCUGGAGGCAGCAAAGAGAGACAGACACACGGCAGUGAGGCCUCCUGGCUCUAGUACACAGGGGGAACGACAGUGACAAGGAGCGACCCCGGGGGGGUGGGGGGGUGACAAAGCCCGGGACGGGGGGAGGUCACCCAAAUUCAGUACUGGACCUCAACUGUUUCUAUUCAAGUGUUUUUAGAAAGGACAUGUUAACUGGGAAGAUGGCUCUGAUUUCUGACCAACUUUCCACCGUAUCAUAUUGGGUUUUAGUGGAGUCUAAAAUAGGAUUGGUUCUGAAACCCUCUGGGGAUGGGAUGGUGGCUGCAGGCAGUCCAGGGGCCUUAGCCAACCAGACUGAUCAGAGGAAACAAGCCACAGAACCAUGGCCUCCCCCACACCCCUGCUGAAGCUAAAAGGUCUGUACUUACCACCAGGGCGUCGCCUGAUGAUGAGUUUUCGGACUUCGUCGUACACGAAGAUGAGGAGAGAGUAGGGGAAGGCACAGAACCACCAGGUAGGUCUGGAAAAGAGAAGCAGGUACCAAUUUAGACGUGAACACAAUUCAAAGGAAAGAGAAACUGUAUCAUCAGCGACAGUGGAAGAGCCUGGAAGGAGGAGCCAAAUACGGUCAUGACUAACCACUGAGCCUUUAGCAUGGACCACACAGCAGGGUCCUGAGAACAGAAUGCUGCUCCCUAUGCCCAGGGCCUAGAGGGGCAGAGGAAGGCAGACUGCAGACUUUCUGAAGGAAUCCCCUUCCCACCUUCAGUCUGCUUUUUUUAAUUUGGUUUGCAGGGGGGAGUUGAGAUUUUUUGGUUGACCAUCCCACAGCAAAGGGACAUUUUCUUUCUUCCCUUUCUCAAGUUCUACGUCCUGGCAUCUGCUGAUCAAGAACCGCCAGUGUGGCUCAAAACCAGUCUCUCUAUCCCUUGCAUACAGUCAGCUGUGUGUUGAAUCCCAGUGCUGGGGAAUGAAAACAGCCGAGCCCUAAGAGACAGCAGAGGCCUUUGGGAGCCUGGCGGGCUGCUGCCACAGUCCCCAGCCUGGGGAUAGGCGCCUGGCGCAGCCUCGUCACAAACCUGUGCUUCCCUGACGACCAACUUCUGCGGUCAAUGUGUGAGGGAGGCUGUCCCAGGACAGAGGCCUGGCACUCUCCUCUUCUUCCUGGUGCUAGGCGUCCUCCUCCACAGCUAAAAGAGGACCUCCUUUGACUCGGCCACACAGAGUAACUAAGCCACCUUCCAAAUUGGGUAGAACCUGUUCAGGAACAAGCUCUCCAGUCAGAAUAAAACAUGGCCUGAGGCACUACUCCAUUUCAGGGUGACUCCAUCUCAGCCUUUUAGAGAGCUGGGUUCUCCUACCCUCCUCUUGACAAACUGGCUCAAGCUGAUAAAAUUCAACUUGGACAAGGCUUGCCCCUGGUGUACACCAGCUCUGUAUAAGGUGCCGGGGAUACAAAGUCAAAAAAGAUCCUAUAGCCCAUGCCUUAAAGAUUACAACCUAGUGGGGAGCAGAAAUGACAAGUAAUAGCAAAAAAGGGGUGUGACUGCGCAUGUCCAGGAGGGCGAGAUCACACAGGGCAAGCUCCGGGGAAAUUGGCCCUGAAGGACUCUCUGGCCUGAUGGGGUGGGAGGGAGCAGCCUUACCAAGGACAUACGCUGGAAGAGAAAGUAUGGAAUUCAUCUGACAAGCUUGGAUGGCUACAAGAGAAAGCUGAAAAGACAGCUCGGGCAAUAGCGGACAGACCCCUAGAUGCCAGGCUACCCUUCCACAGAGGGAAUGUCUGUACAGACCCAACAAGAUGCCAGUGAGGCCCACAGGGAUUGGCUACUUCAGGGACGGGGUCAGGCUACUGGAAUUUGCACUUCUGAUAAACCUGCAUUUUUCACAUACAGGGUUUACCACAAAGUCCUUCACUGUGUUUAAAAAGGCCCGCUGGUUCUGAGCAAAGUUAGUGGUGGGCUUCCUUUGGUCUAUUCUACCCAUGACCCACCUCAAGCCUGCUUCUCCCACCUCCUUCGGGAGCAGAGGAUUCAGAGGCCCACAGAGGUGGGGGCCUGUGAUGGGACACACAAGGGCUAGGUCUGGAACACGGAAGGCAGAGAGAUGAGCCCAGCACUUGGCCUGCGUGGCCGGCAGCUGAGUAGCCACCGUCCUCAGGGGUCUGAGGAGCGCCCCACUGGUCAGGCCCUCGCUCACCCACUGCUGCCCGUAGCUGUCCUCCACAUCGUUGAUCCAGCGGUCAUCCCAGUCCACUCGGAUGCCCAGCAGGUGGGUUGGGAGGAAGCCGUUCUCAGCCAGAAUCACAAAGUAUGUGAAGAAGCCUCCCAGGGCCUGGAUCAUACCUGCAAGUGUGCAUGAACAGUUCUCACCUGGUUCCAGGGCAUCUCUGCACACCCUUCAUCCGACUGCCACAGCAGGCCCCGGGGGGUCCUCUGGGGCGGUCUUCAGCACUGGCUGAGAGAGGAUUGGGAGAAUGGGAGGACCCCAGGGGCAGAGCCCUCACACGGCACCCUCUUCUCUUUUUUGAGUCACUUUUUAGAGCUUUCUUUAAAAGGGGAAGACACGUAGGCCUUGCUCUGAAACGCCCACUGCUAUCAUAUGAUCACGUGUCUCUAUCAGGGCAGAGCCUUUUUAGGGGAAAAAUGCUUCCCUAUUUUUUUAAAUCUCUGCUACAAUGUGACUUCUUUCCCAUCUCAGUUUUCACACAUUCCAAAUAGUGACUGUGGCACCUUCCAACCCCCUCCCCUCGCCCCCCCGCAUCUGAUCCCACCACACCACCCUGAGUUCCUCAGGGCAGGAUUUCAUCCUAUGCUCUGGCCCUAAGCCUCCUUCUUAAGAGUCAGGUCCUCCUGGCCCUUAGCCAGCUCCUUGUCAGCAACUGUUAACCAGUCUGCCAUAUUUCCACAAUGUACUCAUCUGUUCCAUUCUACCCAAGUGUUCACAGUGAUGCAACCCAUUAAUCCAAAGGCCUGGGCUGCUCCUGGUGGCCUCACUGGGUUCUCCUGAAUGCCACUAGGCAGAGCAUUUAGGAUCCCAGGGCAUGUUCAAUGCCCACUACCUAGAGACCAUCUGUUAGCUGGUCAAGCUCCACUGGUAGAGUGGGAAUCAAGCCCUGGGGGUGGGGAGAGUGAGGGUGCAGGGCUAUCACUGGGUGGUGACCCGCCAGCCAAACCUUCAAGCUCAUGUGGUUUCUUCAAAGCCUAACUCUAUCCAAAUUAGUGCCCGACACUCUAUAUCCCCAGGGGACACUGCCUCUGAAGGAACUGUGCCUGGCGUUCCAAGGGGCAGCCCCCAUUCUUAGGCAGCCAAGCCCCGUCUCAAGAACUCCAGUCUCCACAAGGAAGUAACUGGGCAGACAGCAAAAGAUUUCUUCUCUGCUCAGGAGAAUCUUGUACAAAAUUCCCCUGCAUCUCACCCUAUGCUCUGCCUCCUGCUAGAUCUGAAGCCUGAGAAACCAAGCCUGGCUGAGCCUCCCUCCCCCCCCAAACAGAUGCUUCCCGCUAAGUGCCAGGGGCCUCGGUGGCUCACCAAUCUGCCCGUAGGCCAUGCUUAUCAGCCGCUCGUUCACAAGCUUGUCCGUUUUGGGGUUUCUGGGCUGUCUCUUCAUGAUGUCGCUCUCAGCUUGCUCGUAAGCCAGGGAGAUGGCAGGAACCUGGGGAAGAGAAGCAAGAGAGAAGAGCGUAAAAGUUGUCAGAUACCAAGAAACUGGCAGCAUGUUAUAAAGUCCUUGCCCCCUCCCCUUUAAAACUGGUUUUCAUACCAUGAGAUGCUGUUACCAGGCCUAUUUAAAAAAAAUAAUAAUAAUGUUGCUAUCUGAUAAGUGGUGUCGGCUGCCCAGAGGACCGGGAACACAGCUUCCUGGGAGCUGAGGCCGUGACGCACGGUGAGUAUCACUUACGCCCAGCCUGACUGGGCGACGCAGCGACGGGUGAGCGAGGGGGGCCCAAAGCUGCCGUGCCAGUCACUUACUUACCAUGUCCGUGCCCAGGUCAAUGCAGAGGAUGGUGACAGUCCCCAGGGGUAGUGGAAUGUUUGCAAUAAUAAAUAUCAGGAAGGGGGUGAUCUCUGGAAUGUUACUGGUCAGGGUGUAGGCAAUGGAUUUCUUCAAGUUAUCAAAGAUCAGACGACCUGGGAAAAGCAAGAGGUUGGUUCUGUUUUGGCUUUUUACUAUAGAGCUUAAAGAGAUGGGCAGUACCGGGAUGAGUUUCUGGUGAACACUUUAAACAUAGUGCUCGCUCACCUUCUUCUACUCCAGUUACAAUUGACGCAAAGUUGUCAUCCAGAAGAAUCAUGUCUGCAGCUUGCUUAGACACGUCGGAGCCAGCAAUCCCCAUAGCAACCCCAAUGUCUGCCUUCUUCAAGGCUGGAGAGUCGUUCACACCAUCGCCAGUUACAGCUACGAUAGCCCCCUGCCAGAAGAAGGGAGUGGGUCUGUUAAGAGCCACACGGUCCAGGGCAGGAGGCACACGGGGCACACGCCUCAACUUGCCUCUCCUCGCUACAGACCCUGCCCCUUUCCUAGACUCUCAGCGGGCGCAGAACUGGCUCAGCCAAGAAGCCACCCAGCCACAAGCUGACCACAGAUUGAGGAGUGAUGACAAAUGUAUCCCCUCCCCUUACUAACAAGAGCUCCUCAAAGCCAGGACUUCGAAAAAUUGAGCCCCCAUCUCUGCUCACUCUUCAUCUAACCAAAAUACAUGACUGCCCACCAGUGAGGGCCAGCCUGCAAGCUAUUUUGAGGGCAAACAGAACUGACCAGCAUGAGACCAAAGGUCUAAGUACGAAUCAGAAGCAAACCAAUAGGAUUUUGUUGCUCAGAGGCCCCAACACACCAAACAUCUCUCCAGCCCUUCCUAUUUUCAAAAUAGGGGAACAGAUCAAGGAGGAGGAGGAAUCCUCUGGAAAGGCUUCAGGGAGGUCAGAACACUGUGCAGAUGUGUACCAGACUGACAGCCGUGCUGCUGGCUGUCCACGUACC